UACGUAGGUGGCAAGCGUUGUCCGGAAUUAUUGGGCGUAAAGCGCGCGCAGGUGGUUCCUUAAGUCUGAUGUGAAAGCCCACGGCUCAACCGUGGAGGGUCAUUGGAAACUGGGGAACUUGAGUGCAGAAGAGGAAAGUGGAAUUCCAAGUGUAGCGGUGAAAUGCGUAGAUAUCUGGAGGAACACCGGUGGCGAAGGCGACAUCCUGGACCGGUAUUGACGCUGAGGCGCGAAAGCCAGGGGAGCAAACGGG
rnacentral:rRNA from 1 species